rnacentral:rRNA from 1 species
CCUACGGGAGGCAGCAGUGAGGAAUAUUGGUCAAUGGGCGGAAGCCUGAACCAGCCAAGUCGCGUGAGGGAAUAAGGCCCUACGUGUCGUAAACCUCUUUUGCCGGGGAGCAAUGGCUGGGACGUGUCCCCGCCCGGAGAGUCCCCGGAGAAAAAGCAUCGGCUAACUCGGUGCCAGCGGCCGCGGUAAUACGGGGGAGGCGAGCGUUGUCCGGAUUUAUUGGGUUUAAGGGGUGCGUAGGCGGGCUUUUAAGUCAGCGGUAAAAAUUCGGGGCUCAACCCCGUCCGGCCGUUGAAACUGGGGGCCUUGAGUGGGAGAGAAGAAGGUGGAAUGCGUGGUGUAGCGGUGAAAUGCAUAGAUAUCACGCAGAACCCCGAUUGCGAAGGCAGCCUUCCGGCGCCAUACUGACGCUGAGGCACGAAAGUGCGGGGAUCGAACAGGAUUAGAUACCCUAGUAGUC